rnacentral:rRNA from 1 species
UUGAACGCUGGCGGCAGGCCUAACACAUGCAAGUCGAGCGGAUGAAGGGAGCUUGCUCCUGGAUUCAGCGGCGGACGGGUGAGUAAUGACUAGGAAUCUGCCUGGUAGUGGGGGAUAACGUCCGGAAACGGGCGCUAAUACCGCAUACGUCCUGAGGGAGAAAGUGGGGGAUCUUCGGACCUCACGCUAUCAGAUGAGCCUAGGUCGGAUUAGCUAGUUGGUGGGGUAAAGGCCUACCAAGGCGACGAUCCGUAACUGGUCUGAGAGGAUGAUCAGUCACACUGGAACUGAGACACGGUCCAGACUCCUACGGGAGGCAGCAGUGGGGAAUAUUGGACAAUGGGCGAAAGCCUGAUCCAGCCAUGCCGCGUGUGUGAAGAAGGUCUUCGGAUUGUAAAGCACUUUAAGUUGGGAGGAAGGGCAGUAAGUUAAUACCUUGCUGUUUUGACGUUACCAACAGAAUAAGCACCGGCUAACUUCGUG